UACGUAGGGUGCAAGCGUUGUCCGGAAUUAUUGGGCGUAAAGAGCUCGUAGGCGGUCUGUCGCGUCGGCUGUGAAAUCCCGGAGCUCAACUCCGGGUCUGCAGUCGAUACGGGCAAACUGGAGUACUGCAGGGGAGACUGGAAUUCCUGGUGUAGCGGUGAAAUGCGUAGAUAUCAAGUGGAACACCAGUGGCGAAGGCGAGUCUCUGGACAUUUCCUGACGCUGAGGCACGAAAGCCAGGGGAGCAAACGGG
rnacentral:rRNA from 1 species